UUUUUCUUCUGCUGAAAAGCAGAAGACAGGAGACAGAGAAGGGGCAGAGAGUUCGCAGGGAAAGAGAAAGGUGAGGGGACGUGAGGGAGACUUGAGGAGAGAGAAAGUCAAAAAAAAAAGUCACUGUGCUUCUUCUCCGAGAGGUCCCCGCCGACUCCGCUGCUGCUCAUUGUGCCUCCCGUUGCCACUACCACCGUCUCCGGCCGCCCUGCUGUUCCGCGCCGCACCAUCGCGCCACCUCUGCGCCACUUCGCCGUCGCCGCUCGCUGUGACCCGACACCACCGCUGCAGCACCGCGACCCCCUCGACCGACGCCCCCUCAGCCCAAUCGACGCCACCGUCUCUGCUCCAAUGCCUCAGCCUCAGCCUUCGCCGCGUCGAUCUCGCUCGCCGACGCUCCCUGCAACCCACUGAUCCGGCCAUCGUUCGCCUCCGCCUGGAGCCAGAAUCCGAACCUGCUGCAACGCCGUUUUCCCCUUUCGCUGGAGCCCGACGACACUGCUCACCACCACCGCAGCGACCCGCGACCCAGCUACUGCUCGCCGGUCACCGACGCCGUGCCUCCCAGUUGCUGCCAGUCGACCGAAGUUCCUCCCCGCGGGUCGCCGUACGCGAGGCCCGCGAAACCGCCUCUGCUCCCGACGCCUGCUGAAGCCUCACCUCCCUGUUGCUCGCUGCCGCCGCGGGCUGAUCUGCGAGUCGCCGGUGACUCGCGCCCAACGCCGCCCCUGUUCAGCACUGACGCCCAAGCUCUGUCGCCGCAUUUGCACCGUCACCCUGUUCAUUGCUGUCGAGCCAUUCCUCAAGUCGGCCGUGCCCCGGACUUGGUAAAUUUUUAGGUUAGGUUAAAUUCAGUUCAAGUAUUUGGAUUCUAAGCUUGUGAUCCUG
rnacentral:lncRNA from 1 species